rnacentral:rRNA from 1 species
CCUCCCCGCCGGAAGACCAAGGGUUCCUGUCCAACGUUAAUCGGGGCAGGGUAAGUCGACCCCUAAGGCGAGGCUGAAAAGCGUAGUCGAUGGGAAACGGGUUAAUAUUCCCGUACUUCUUACAAUUGCGAUGGGGGGACGGAGAAGGCUAGGUGGGCCUGGCGACGGUUGUCCAGGUUCAAGUGCGUAGGCUGAGUGUUUAGGUAAAUCCGGACACUCUUAAGGCUGAGACACGACGUCGAGCUACUACGGUAGUGAAGUCAUUGAUGCCAUGCUUCCAGGAAAAGCCUCUAAGCUUCAGAUUGUAAGGAAUCGUACCCCAAACCGACACAGGUGGUCGGGUAGAGAAUACCAAGGCGCUUGAGAGAACUCGGGUGAAGGAACUAGGCAAAAUGGUACCGUAACUUCGGGAGAAGGUACGCUCUUGAUGGUGAAGUCCCUUGCGGAUGGAGCUGACGAGAGUCGCAGAUACCAGGUGGCUGCAACUGUUUAUUAAAAACACAGCACUGUGCAAAAUCGUAAGAUGACGUAUACGGUGUGACGCCUGCCCGGUGCCGGAAGGUUAAUUGAUGGGGUUAGCGCAAGCGAAGCUCUUGAUCGAAGCCCCGGUAAACGGCGGCCGUAACUAUAACGGUCCUAAGGUAGCGAAAUUCCUUGUCGGGUAAGUUCCGACCUGCACGAAUGGCGUAAUGAUGGCCACGCUGUCUCCACCCGAGACUCAGUGAAAUUGAAAUCGCUGUGAAGAUGCAGUGUACCCGCGGCUAGACGGAAAGACCCCGUGAACCUUUACUACAGCUUGGCACUGAACAUUGAACCUACAUGUGUAGGAUAGGUGGGAGGCUUUGAAGACGUGACGCCAGUUGCGUUGGAGCCGUCCUUGAAAUACCACCCUUGUAUGUUUGAUGUUCUAACGUUGGCCCCUAAUCGGGGUUGCGGACAGUGCCUGGUGGGUAGUUUGACUGGGGCGGUCUCCUCCCAAAGAGUAACGGAGGAGCACGAAGGUGGGCUAAUCACGGUUGGACAUCGUGAGGUUAGUGCAAUGGCAUAAGCCCGCUUAACUGCGAGAAUGACGGUUCGAGCAGGUGCGAAAGCAGGUCAUAGUGAUCCGGUGGUUCUGAAUGGAAGGGCCAUCGCUCAACGGAUAAAAGGUACUCCGGGGAUAACAGGCUGAUACCGCCCAAGAGUUCAUAUCGACGGCGGUGUUUGGCACCUCGAUGUCGGCUCAUCACAUCCUGGGGCUGAAGUCGGUCCCAAGGGUAUGGCUGUUCGCCAUUUAAAGUGGUACGCGAGCUGGGUUUAGAACGUCGUGAGACAGUUCGGUCCCUAUCUGCCGUGGGCGUUGGAAGAUUGAAGGGGGCUGCUCCUAGUACGAGAGGACCGGAGUGGACGAACCUCUGGUGUUCGGGUUGUGUCGCCAGACGCAUUGCCCGGUAGCUAAGUUCGGAAUCGAUAACCGCUGAAAGCAUCUAAGCGGGAAGCGAGCCCUGAGAUGAGUCUUCCCUGAUACUUUAAGUAUCCUGAAGGGUUGUUCGAGACUAGAACGUUGAUAGGCAGGGUGUGUAAGCGCUGUGAGGCGUUGAGCUAACCUGUACUAAUUGCCCGUGAGGCUUAACCAUACAACACCCAAAGGGUUUUG